UGAAAACAAACACCUCCAAGCGGGGGAACCUUCCUUACCUGCCAUUAGUUCCCAGUGGCCCUCAUCGGGAUCCAGGCGCCAGCUGCAUCGCUGGAAGUCACUGCCCCGACUCCAGCGGGCAUGGAGGUCCUGGAGGAUCUUUGGGUACCUGGACGGCUGCUGCCCACCACUGGGGAGCCCGGAGACAGGGGACAGGCAGAGGGGGACUGGAGCCCGCGGUUCUCUGUUCUUUCCUGAAGUUCAUGUGGCCUAGGUCGGCGUCCGUCUGUCCCACAUGUUUACUCUUCCUUUGUGCAAUUUCCUCGAGGGAGAGGGAAAGCACCAGCCCCAGAGCCGGCAGUGACAGAAGGCAGCUUGGUGAUGGGCCCUUAUUUUUCCAAAGAACUAAGUGCAGGAAACUCGAUCGCGGGCUCUGGUGAUUAAAUAUUUAUCCUAGAAGACAGUCGCAUUGUUCUUGAGGAUCGCCGCUCAAAGAGUUUAUUUUUUUAAAGAGAUAGAGUGCUGAGGUCACCGGAGCAGAUUGGCUAAAUUGAUUUUGAACCCCUGCUGAAUGACAUUCUAAUCCCUCCAGGUGUGGAAUACCACCCGGCUCCCCAGCAUCAUUUGUCAUUCACUGUCCACUGAACAGCCAUAAUGGCCAGCUCCCCAACCCUUGUUUUUAUUGAUUUUUAUUCACCGUUUUCCUGUGGGGACGGAGGCAGCCUCGCCUGGGGAAAGGGCCGCAGCUGGAGUCAGAACAUCAGGGUCAGUUCUAACCUCUGACAAGAGGCAAGUCGCACCCCCUCAGUGCCCCAGGAGAAGGUCUAAGAAGGAGCUAGUGCUCAGUGGUGAAGGGAGUUCUUCUCAAAGAGCCCCUCACACCGUGGAAUUAUGGGAUCAUCCAAAGAAAUAGGGCAAUCCCUUAAGGUCGAGGAACAGGAAGCAGAUCUUGAGAUCCUUGACCAAAAACAAACCUUUGUCAGUCUUUGGCUUCUCUUCUGGCCCCUUCCGCCCUCCAACCAAAAUAGCUUUGGGGAGCACUCCCACAAGAUGAGUCAAACAUAUUUUUUUCUGCAAAUACAAACUAAUCUUCUGUGGAACUUCUUUUCUGAACUUCUCAGCCCUGGACAGAUCCUCGCCCAAGGUCCAUCUCUGGAAGACAUGAGGAGAAACUUUCGGUUCCCUGCGAUUGACAAAAAUGGCUACGUGUCGGACCCCAUGAGCGCCAUGCACUUCCCGGGCCCCGGCGGCUUGGAGGAGAGCGGCUGAGCCGGCCGCGACCUACCCCAGGAGCCAGCCUCCGGGACCGCGGACAGCUCCCCGAGCCCUUCCAAUGGCUCCGCUUACUCCCCGUUCCGUCAUUUUCUGCCACAAAUCGGGCCGUGGCUUUGUGUCCAAAACAUGACAAUGCAAAAGAGGAAAGGCAGAAAUGGAGGCUGAAAAGGGGUUGUGAAUUUUGUGAGCUAACACUAAGUUAAUCACUGUGUGCAUUAAUUCGUAGCAUUAUUUGGAAGCCCCGCUGCAGUCCAGAGCAGUCACAUGUUAGCAAUAGGUC
rnacentral:lncRNA from 1 species